UAGCUCAUUUGGUAAAGUGUCUGCCUACAAUGCAGGAGUCCCAGGUUCGAUCCCUGG
rnacentral:tRNA from 1 species